rnacentral:rRNA from 1 species
AGUCGAACGAACUCUUCGGAGUGAGUGGCGGACGGGUGAGUAACGCGUGAGAAUCUGCCUGUGGGUCGGGGACAACCACUGGAAACGGUGGCUAAUACCGGAUGAGCCGAAAGGUAAAAAAUUUAUUGCCCACAGAUGAGCUCGCGUCUGAUUAGCUAGUUGGUAAGGUAAAAGCGUACCAAGGCGACGAUCAGUAGCUGGUCUGAGAGGAUGAGCAGCCACACUGGGACUGAGACACGGCCCAGACUCCUACGGGAGGCAGCAGUGGGGAAUUUUCCGCAAUGGGCGAAAGCCUGACGGAGCAAGACCGCGUGGGGGAGGAAGGUUUUUGGAUCGUAAACCCCUUUUGUCAAGGAAGAAGUUCUGACGGUACUUUGACGAAUAAGCCUCGGCUAACUCCGUGCCAGCAGCCGCGGUAAAUACGGAGGAGGGCAAGCGUUAUCCGGAAUGAUUGGGCCGUAAAAGCGUCUGUAGGUGGGCCAGCUAAGUCUGCUGGUUAAA